rnacentral:rRNA from 1 species
GAUGAACGCUGGCGGCGUGCCUAAUACAUGCAAGUCGAGCGAACGGACGAGAAGCUUGCUUCUCUGAUGUUAGCGGCGGACGGGUGAGUAACACGUGGAUAACCCACCUAUAAGACUGGGAUAACUUCGGGAAACCGGAGCUAAUACCGGAUAAUAUUUUGAACCGCAUGGUUCAAAAGUGAAAGACGGUCUUGCUGUCACUUAUAGAUGGAUCCGCGCUGCAUUAGCUAGUUGGUAAGGUAACGGCUUACCAAGGCAACGAUGCAUAGCCGACCUGAGAGGGUGAUCGGCCACACUGGAACUGAGACACGGUCCAGACUCCUACGGGAGGCAGCAGUAGGGAAUCUUCCGCAAUGGGCGAAAGCCUGACGGAGCAACGCCGCGUGAGUGAUGAAGGUCUUCGGAUCGUAAAAAUCUGUUAUUAGGGAAGAACAUAUGUGUAAGUAACUGUGCACAUCUUGACGGUACCUAAUCAGAAAGCCACGGCUAACUACGUG